AUUGAACGCUGGCGGCAUGCCUUACACAUGCAAGUCGAACGGCAGCACGGGAGCAAUCCUGGUGGCGAGUGGCGAACGGGUGAGUAAUAUAUCGGAACGUGCCCGGUCGUGGGGGAUAACGUAGCGAAAGCUACGCUAAUACCGCAUACGAUCUACGGAUGAAAGCGGGGGGAUCGCAAGACCUCGCGCGAUUGGAGCGGCCGAUAUCAGAUUAGGUAGUUGGUGAGGUAAAGGCUCACCAAGCCGACGAUCUGUAGCUGGUCUGAGAGGACGACCAGCCACACUGGGACUGAGACACGGCCCAGACUCCUACGGGAGCAGCAGUGGGGAAUAUUGGACAAUGGGGCGAAAGCCUGGAUCCAGCAAUGCCGCGUGAGUGAUGAAGGCCUUAGGGUUGUAAAGC
rnacentral:rRNA from 1 species